rnacentral:rRNA from 1 species
GAUGAACGCUGGCGGCGUGCCUAAUACAUGCAAGUCGAGCGGAGCGGGGACGGGUGAGUAACGCAUGGGUAACCUCCUAUAAGACUGGGAUAACUUCGGGAAACCUGACCUAAACCGGCUACUUAUAGAUGGAUCUGCGCUGCAUUAGCUAGUUGGUAAGGUAACGGCUUACCAAGGCAACGAUGCAUAGCCGAUCUGAGAGGGUGAUCGGCCACACUGGAACUGAGACACGGCCCAGACUCCUACGGGAGGCAGCAGUAGGGAAUCUUGCGCAAUGGGCGCAAGCCUGACGGAGCAAUGCCGCGUGAGUGAAGAAGGCCUUCGGAUCGUAAAAUUCUGUUAUUAGGGAAGCGGUACCUAAUCAGAAAGCCACGGCUAACUACGUGCCAGCAGCCGCGGUAAUUC